rnacentral:rRNA from 1 species
UCUUUAUAAUAUGUGGUGAGAAGUACGUUAGGUGUUUAAUAACCCUCGCACUCUAAUUAUUUGGUUGGGGUGACAUGAAUUGAAUCAACAAUUUUUACUAUUACCUAAAUUAGUGGUUUUGUGACCCGGUACCCGAGUAAAAGACUAAGU